GGCUACCGCUAUUGGAGUUCGAUUAAGCCAUGCGAGUCGCGAGAAAUUAGAUUCUCGGCGUACCGCUCAGUAACACGUGGGUAACCUGCCCUAUGCUGGAUAAUAACCUCGGGAAACUGAGAAUAAUGAUCCAUAGUUCACUACGCCUGGAACGGUGAGUGGACGAAAGCUCCGGCGGCAUAGGAUGGGCCUGCGGCGUAUCAGGUUGUAGGGGGUGUAACGUACCCUCUAGCCCUCUACGCGUACGGGUGUUGGGAGACAUAGCCCGGAGAUGGAUUCUGAGACACGAAUCCAGACCCUACGGGGUGCAGCAGGCGCGAAAACUUGGCAAUGCGAGAAAUCGUGACCAGGGAACUCCAAGUGCAUCGGGUAAGACCGGUGCUUUUCUUGACUCUAAAUAGGUCUUGGAGUAAGGGGUGGGUAAGGACGGUGCCAGCCGCCGCGGUAAUACCGGCGCCUCAAGUGGUAGUCGCUUUUAUUGGGCCUAAAACGUCCGUAGCCGGUCUGAUACAUUCGUGGGUAAAUCAACCAGCUCAACUGGUUGAAUUCUGCGAGGACGGUCAGACUUGGGACCGGGAGAGGUGUGGGGUACGCUCAGGGUAGGGGUAAAAUCCUGUCAUCCUGAGCGGACCACCUGUUGCGAAGGCGCCACACUAGAACGGAUCCGACGGUCAGGGACGAAGCCUAGGGGCACGAACCGGAUUAGAUACCCGGGUAGUCCUAGGUGUAAACGCUGUGGACUUGAUGUUGGGGGUGCUCCGAGCACUCUCAGUGUCGAAGCGAAGGUGAUAAGUCCACUGCCUGGGAAGUACGGUCGCAAGGCUGAAACUUAAAGGAAUUGGCGGGGGAGCACCGCAACCUGAGGAUUGUGCGGUUU
rnacentral:rRNA from 1 species